rnacentral:rRNA from 1 species
AUUGAACGCUGGCGGCAUGCCUUACACAUGCAAGUCGAACGGUAACAGGUUUUCGGAUGCUGACGAGUGGCGAACGGGUGAGUAAUACAUCGGAACGUGCCUAGUAGUGGGGGAUAACUACUCGAAAGAGUGGCUAAUACCGCAUGAGAUCUACGGAUGAAAGCAGGGGAUCGCCAGAUCUUGUGCUACUAGUGCGGGCGUUGGGAGAUUAGGUAGUUGGUGGGAUAAAAGCUUACCAAGCCGACGAUCUGUAGCUGGUCUGAGAUGACGAUCAGCCACACUGGGACUGAGACACGGCCCAGACUCCUACGGGAGGCAGCAGUGGGGAAUUUUGGACAAUGGGCGCAAGCCUGAUCCAGCAAUGCCUCGUGCAGGAUGAAGGCCUUCGGGUUGUAAACUGCUUUUGUACGGAACGAAAAGCCCCGGGUUAAUACCCUGGGGUCGUGACGGUACCGUAAGAAUAAGCACCGGCUAACUACGUGCCAGCCGCCGCCGUAA